UUCGAUUCUGGCUCGAGGAUGAACGCUAGCUACAGGCUUAACACAUGCAAGGUCGAGGGGCAGCGGGGGAGCAGCAAUGCUCCUGCCGGCGACCGGCGCACGGGUGCGUAACGCGUAUCCAACCUGCCGCGUACUCCGGGACAGCCCUCUGAAAGGAGGAUUAAUACCGGAUGUUGCCGGGGCCAGGCAUCUGGCCCCGGGCUAAAGAUUCAUCGGUACGCCGAUGGGGAUGCGUCUGAUUAGCUUGUUGGCGGGGUAACGGCCCACCAAGGCGACGAUCAGUAGGGGUUCUGAGAGGAAGGUCCCCCACAUAGGAACUGAGACACGGUCCUAACUCCUACGGGAGGCAGCAGUGAGGAAUAUUGGUCAAUGGGCGUAAGCCUGAACCAGCCAAGUAGCGUGCAGGAACCGACGGCCCUACGGGUUGUAAACUGCUUUUAUGCGGGGAUAAAGUGCGGCACGUGUGCCGCUUUGCAGGUACCGCAUGAAUAAGGACCGGCUAAUUCCGUGCCAGCAGCAGC
rnacentral:rRNA from 1 species